GCUCAUUACAACAGCCAUCGUUUAUUAGAAUAUCGUUAUCCUACUUGGAUAACUGUGGCAAUUCUAGAGCUAAUACAUGCAAUAAAGCUCCGCCCGCAAGGAACGAGCGCAUUUAUUAGAAUAAAAACCAAUCGGGUUUCGGCCCGUAAUUUGGUGAAUCUGAAUAACUUUGCCAAUCGCACAGUCCUAGUACUGGCGAUGUAUCUUUCAAGUGUCUGCCUUAUCAACUUUCGAUGGUACGCUAUACGCCUACCAUGGUAGUAACGGGUAACGGAGAAUAAGGGUUCGACUCCGGAGAGGGAGCCUGAGAAACGGCUACCACAUCCAAGGAAGGCAGCAGGCGCGCAAAUUACCCACUUCCAGAACGGAGAGGUAGUGACGAAAAAUAACGAGACAGUCCUCUUCGAGGUCUGUCAUCGGAAUGGGUACAAUUUAAAUCCUUUAACGAGGAUCUAUUGGAGGGCAAGUCUGGUGCCAGCAGCCGCGGUAAUUCCAGCUCCAAUAGCGUAUAUUAAAGUUGUUGCAGUUAAAACGCUCGUAGUUGGAUUUGCGGCCUCGAAGAACGGUCCCCCGAAAGGGUGGUCACUGUCUCUUCUAGCCUAAAGUCGAGUCGUCUCUAGGUGCUCUUUAUUGAGUGCUUAGAGUGACUAGAACGUUUACUUUGAAAAAAUUAGAGUGCUUAAAGCAGACGAAAUAGUCUGAAUAAGGUGCAUGGAAUAAUGGAAUAGGACCUCGGUUCUAUUUUGUUGGUUUUCGGAGCCCGAGGUAAUGAUUAAGAGGAACAGACGGGGGCAUUCGUAUUCCGGCGCUAGAGGUGAAAUUC
rnacentral:rRNA from 1 species